UUUCAUACUGCUGUUGAUGAUGUGAAUUUUGGAAAUAUUCUCCCCUAUUGGGUCUUUCUCCAUGACAGAUGAUGUCCUUUGGCUUCGGUUUUUUGCCUAAGAACUGUAAGUGGUGCUUGCUAGCCCUACUAAGAAUCCUGCCAUUGUUGCAAAUUUCAGAAAAAAGUGAUUAUCCAGGGACUACAGAUGGGGUCAGCAGCAUGCCCAGUCACCUGCAUUGCCUAAUGAAUGGCUGACUGCCUCAGCAUCCCCUGGGCAGAGGCUGGAGUGCAGUGGUGCACACGCCUCACACUGUGACACAGCGGGAGAGCCCAGAGCGACAGCUGUUGGAAUGACUGCACUCUUCCUGCUCAAGUCUGACCUUUCCAAGGGUCUCACUCUGUCACCCAGGUUGGAGUAAAGUGGUAUGAUCAUGGCUCACUGCAGCCUCGAACUCCUGGGCUCAAGCAAUCCUCCUGCCUCAGCCUCCUGAGUAGCUGGGACUACAGCCUUUGUCCUAUGUCUGGAGACUUCUUGGAAGCUGGAGCACACAAAUAGCUACAGCAAACUUGAGGAAUGGGCAUGAAUAGACUGGCUUCGGGGAACCUGCCAGCUUGGCCGUGUGGCCAAGGUAAUAGGCAAGCCAAGGCAGAGCUAGAGCUCAGAGCUGGAGGGGAAAUUAAAGCAGCAAAUGUAGAAACAUUAAGCCUGAAGAGGCGACGACGUUGAAUUCUAAAAUGCAGGCCAAAGCUCAGACUGCAAGCUGUCUGGCUGCUCCGGGUGUGCCCAGAAGUCAAAGUCCAGCAGGGGCAAAGGUGGAGGUGUGGUCCUGCACGUGGGGUGUUGGGGGGAUGUGGAAGAGGAGGUGCUUUAAGAUCCAGAGAUUCCAGCUGCCCUGGUGCACCCUUGGAAGAAUAAAAGGCUAGGAACUGGACAAGUCAGGCUCGAGUCCAAGCUGCCUGAGGAAUCGGGGAAAGAAUGGAGCUCAGAGUGGGAGGUCAGGGCAGUAUUUAAAAAUCCAGGAUAGCAGCAAAGCUGGCGGUGGCCCCUGACUCUGGUAAGGGCAGCCUGCAGCACCAUGCCAAGGGGGGCCUGACUGAUCAUGCCCUGCAUUUGCAAACAAGGAUUAGUAGGGUAUGAGUAGGAUUCUGCUGGUGCCUGGGAAGGCAGUGCCAUCUACAACUUUACAAAGUUUUAACAAAGGCCUGAAGGACACAACCUUCCCCAAAGUCCUGACGUCGCUGUUUGCUGGCAACAAAUAGAGUCAAAAGAAGAGAGGCACAGAAUGUGCCAGGGGUGUGCUGCGUACAGCCCCGAUGACCACAAGGCCUUCUUGGGUCAAGUUCUGCCAUCUCUGGUUAAGAUGGGCUCACCCUCUAGGACCCUGAUUGAGUCCUCGGACCACCAAGAGUGCCCCACCAAGAGCCUCCCUCUUCUGGUGACUCGUGCCUGCUUCCCGUGGAGAGCUCCAGAAGGGAGGAAACUGUGAGGAGGUGGAGAACGUGGCAGGGAUCCUAACUUUCUUACUGAAGGAAGUUCUUCACAAGUACCCAUCUGCCUUCAGGGAAGAAAACAUAACUCAUUUUGGUCUUUCAAAUUCAGUUCUCAAAACCAAAUCCUGUUGUCAGCAAUCUGUGUCCCAACGCCUUCUUCAGCAACAGCAUUUUCCCUGUGGAAUUAGUUUCCAAUGUUCUUUCUUAAAUAAACCACUGAAGAUUAAAAGGAAUCCAGAUACCCACCACAUUUUGUUUCCUUAAUGAGUAAUUAUCACAUUUCUUUGGCUACUUAAAUGCAUUCUCUGAGUCAGGUAAAGGAGAUCGUAAUAGUUAAUCAACAAGAAGUAAUUCUUGGGUACUUAACAAUAGUCUAAGCACUUAAUCAUACUUAAAAUUGACUAUUAAUGAACCUUAUAAACCAUUUUGCAAUUCUGAAAGUGAAUUUCUCUGCAGGCUUAGAGAUUACUAAGCCAUUUAGAUCUUACCAAACAAAUAUUAUUCAUGCUUUAAUUCCUGGGAAAAGAAAUUUAGAAAAUGAGGUUAAUGUUCAGUUGUCCUUUCCUGAGUUUAACAAUUAUAUAUUCCAUCUGGGAUGCUCUGAACUCAGGUUAAACAUUCUUCAAGUUAUUCCCACAUUUUUCAAGUUAUUCCCACGUUAGUGACCUACUUUAUUAGUAUUAUUACUAAAGAAAAGGGCUGGGUGCGGUGGCCCACAUCUGUAAUCCCAGCACUUUGGGAGGCUGAAGCAGGAGGAUCACUUGAGCUUGGGAGUUCAAGACCAGCCUGAGAGGGAGACUCCGUCUCUACAAAAAAAAAAAAAUUAGCCAGGUAUGGUGGCACGCGCUCAUGGGCCCAGCUACUCAAGGAGGCUGAGGUGGGAGGAUCACGUGAACCUGGGAGGCAGAGCCUGCAGUGAGCCCUGGUUGUGCCUCUGUACUCAAGCCUGAGAGACAGAGUGAGACCCUGUCUCCAAACAAUAAAGUAAAAUAAAUAAAUAAAUAAAUAAGAAUGCAAAUCAAAGACAUUAAGAAAUAGCUUUACUUUAAUGUAGGCAUUUAAGGUAAAAUAGGUCACAUUCUCUUUUUUAAAAAAAUUACUGACCCACAGAAAAACAAGUCAAAAAGCAGACUAUUUCAUAUUAGUGUCUUUUUUUUAAAGAGGAUUAAUAUAAAUUGCCUUCUCACCUGUUUUUAAAAUAAAGGACUGAAUGAUAGAACUUAGACAACAAAUCUAGUAGCAUGAUAAAAGCCUUUCUUUGAUAGCUAGAAAAGGUAAACAAAGAAUAAAACAGGGUGAAGAAGAAAGAGGACAGAUAGAAUGUGAAUAUUAUCUACCUUUUUCUCAAGAUAAAACUAAUAUUGCUUUCUAAAAAGAAGCAAUUCUUUAGAGCAGAGGUCAGCAAACUUUUUCUAUAAAGAGCCAGAUAUUAACUAUUUUAUAAUUUGCAAACCACAUAAGUCCUCUGUUUCAUAUGGGUUUUUUUCUUUUUUCUUUUUAAACAAUACUUUAAAAAUGCUGAAAAUAUUCUUAGCUUACAUCUACAAAAAAGCAGGCAGUGGGCUGAUUUGACUCACAGGUGGUAUAGCUUGCUAAUUCCUGCUUUAGAUUUUAAGAAUGAGGCAGAUGUUGCCAGAAUUUGCUCUAAUUUACUAUGAGGUUUGCAAAUAAAAGUGCUCUUGACAUGAAAACUUGCUAUUUUUAAUGGAAAGACAUGUACAGCCCUUUCUCAGGAAGUGGAGAUUAAUGCAUAAAAUUUUAUUUUCCUAACAUAAAGCAUGUUUUUUCAAAAAAUGGCUUCUCCAUCUUGUGGCCCUUUGAUUAUGAUAGCUCUGAAAGCUUUGAAAAGCUUGCAAAUACUCAACUUCAGGAAUAAAACCACCUAUGAGACCCUCACCUGAAGGCAGGAUCUUUCCUGCAGCCUUGAGUCUUCCUAAUCAGAACCAUUGUUUCGUAAACUGGACUCCGAAGACAACACUUAAAGUCACUCAAGUUCGCUACAAAAUUCUUGUUUUGUGUUUUCAUUUCUAAAGACAAUAAAAAUAAUUGAUAUGAUCAAGUUUGGGAUUAUCUAGAUGAUCUAGACAACUAUUGCGGUCAAAAUAGGCCUGAUCACAGGCAUUUUCAGUACCCAUGGAAUUCUAGAGCUUUGGAUACUUGUCUAGUCUGUUUGGGUCACUAUAACAAAAUGCCAUAAACUGGGUGCUUAUAAAGAACAGAAUUUUAUUUCCCACAGUUCUGCAGGCUGGGAAGUCCAAAAUCGAGGCAGAUUUGAUGUCCUCAAGUGAUGGAAGAAUCAAGAGGUCUCUCUGGGGGCUCUUUUAUAAGGGCACUAACCCCAUUCAUGAGAGCAGAGCCUAAUUACCUCCCUAAGGCCCCAACUCCUAAUACUAUCACCUUGAGGGUGAGGAGGGAAACAUAAAAAUACCAUAGUAAUACUAAUAGGUACAUCAGUGAAGAACAAUAUCACAGUAUCGUGUAGACAGGAAGAUUUUGCUGCAAUUUGGUUGUUAAAACAAAAAGUCGUGGGUGGAUACAAUCAUCAGACAGUUCAGAAGUGGCAUCCACGUACUCACCCAAAGGAGGUGCACUGCAGUUGUGGGAGCCCUGUGCUUGCUACUAGCAGUGACUUAAUUUCUGCAAAGCUAUGUGAUCACAUUCAACUAUGCUAGUUAACUUUAAUUUUACUGAAUUUGGUUUAGGUAGGUAGUUUGUAAAUUUAACUUUCUACUUGUAUAAGAAGUAUAAUUAUAAAAACAGCAGGUCAGCACGACAGGUCUGAGAGAAUCUGUAUUCUGUAAAAAAAUACCUAUUUCUUACUUGGCGAAAAACAUUAGUCAAUGUUGCACCAAAAACCCCCCAAAAGCUAUAGAUCAGAUAUUGACUAAAAUGAAUAUACAAAAAUCUUGACUGGAAAUAUUUUAAGUCAAAACUAACAGCCUAUUUCAGGUAUUGACAGAACAAAUUCCAGAAGCAGAAUAACUGAAACAAUCAUGUUGAAAUUAAUUAUAAUGGGCAGAAUUUGACUGAAACUUGUUACCACCUUCACCAAAAUAUAGCCUUUCUUAUACUAUCAAAUGUAUUGAAUAAAUUGUGAGCACUUUCUUGUACAACUUCUAAAAAUUUAGCUUUGCUUUUGUUAUCUGAAUAUUGUACAGGAAUAUGAGCAUGCAAAUAAGAUCUUUGUUUAGUUUCAAGUCUUUUUAUAACUAAAUCUGCUGGCAUUAGAC
rnacentral:lncRNA from 1 species